UUGUUUUAUUAUUUCUCACAUAUCGUAAUUUUCGUUCGCCUUUUACUAAAGAAAGCCGUGAGGAGGGGCCGCUAUGAGCCGUAUAAAACUUUUCGUCUCCUUGUUUAAAAU